CUUUUAAUAAUUAUCCAGUGUCCAAAGCGUAUAUUGAGGUUAUUGUGUAUCUAUAGAAUUCCUAUUAACAUUUAUCUAUUGUCCGCAGUAUAAAUUGAAGUUGUGCAUGUUUUGUAUUUCUUCUAACGAAUAUUUACUAUCCACACCAUAAAUUGUCAUUUUUGUUCUAUGUUAUUUCAUAUUUCUAUGACGUUAUCUAUGUUAUGGUGUAAAAUGACACUUAUCGUCAUUUUAUAAUUCAGCUAUUUUAUCUGCUUUUUACUGUGCCUUUAGGUGUAUUUAAUCCAAUCCUUAAUUAAUAGUUUAAUUAAUAUGUUUUUUUGUCCAUUUCUGCAGUUUGUCCAACAGAUGAGCGAGAAUUAAAGUUCAGUUUGGUCGUACUACAACAACUAAUGAAUACAAAGGUGUCGUUUUUCCUGGAUUAUAUUAGUGAGACCAACUGAAGAUUUACUUAAAUUCCACUGAAGUAACAAAUUUUCUAAUACUGUAUUCUUUCUGGAUUAGUGGUGCUGCAGUGGUAUCCCUCCCUGAUUUGGCUUCUUUAUCACACUAUAGACUAUGGAACGCUACCUUCUGUAUUUAAUUAAGAUUAUUCAGCAGAUGAGCAAGAAUUAAAGUUGAGUUUGGUCAUACUGAAAAACCAAUAUCUACAUGGGUGUCGUCUUUCUUGGAUUAUAUUCGUGAUUUGCUGUUUUCUUCUUCACCUUGCAACAUAAUGCAGUUAACUUUCGAUCGAUGAGGGAAACCAACUGGAGAUUUAUUUGAAUUCCACUGAAGCAACAAAUUUUCUGAUAUGGUAUUCCUCAUGGAUUUGGUUUACUUUUCACACUUGUGAACACUGAAAUGUUACAGGCUAGAGUUAAUUAAGAUCGACAGUGGAGAAGACAAAGAAGACCCCGUAGUUAAAAUUGUUCUUUAUUUUGUAUGCUCUAUCUAAUAGAAUCAAUUCUUUAAGUUCAUUUUAUUAUAAUCAAUUUUCUAUCUUGCAUGUGUUUUAUAGUUUAUUUAAUUGUUAUUUUGCAUGCUUAUUUUAGUUUAUUUUAUUUGAAUUAAUUUUUUAAUGUAGACGUCAUUAUUUUUUUUUUUGUGUGGUAGUAGUUAUUACCGUAUUAACACGUUUAUUUUUUUUAGUAGUUGUAGUCUAACAUGUCUCUUGCUUACCUCUUCGCUUAGCUUACUGCAUAUUCU
rnacentral:lncRNA from 1 species